rnacentral:lncRNA from 1 species
GGGCCAAUUCAGAGCUUGCUUAUGGAAGCAACACUUAUCCUACUGGAGAAGCCCUCAAUACAACUUGGUGCGCCUAAUAUUUGUAGGCAUCUUAUCAAUAGCACUCGCGGCAGUUUUCUGGCAGCAUGGGAGAACAUUGUAAGUUCUCAAUAAUUGGGCAUUUGAGGAUCUUUGUGCUGAUAAAUUUAAGAAAAUAUCUAGUGUGACCACAGAAAAAAGAAAACUAGAAACUACAACAGUAUCAUAAAUGCAGAUACAAGCACAGAGGAUAUAUUCUUAGUCUGAGAAAUCGUAGGACGGAUAAAAAUUAAAUUACACUGGGAUGAUUAAUUGAAAUUACCUUUAAAAAAUUAGACGAAUUCUGUGUUCCGAAGCAUGCAGGGAAGCCAACAGAAUAAUCGGCAGUGAAGAUCACCUAAAAAUUAUAACUAAAAAUACUUUAACUCUGAUUUGAAAUCUUAGCAUCUUAUGUAUGAAAAAUAGAAAGAAAAAGCAACAAGCAGAUUACACUAAAUGAAACCCAAUUGGAGAACCCAUC